GAUGAACGCUGGCGGCGUGCCUAAUACAUGCAAGUCGAGCGAACGGACGAGAAGCUUGCCUCACUGAUGUUAGCGGCGGACGGGUGAGUAACACGUGUGUAACCUACCUAUAAGACUGGGAGAACUUCGUGAAACCGGAGCUAAUACCGGAUGAGAUUGUGAACCGCAUGGUUCAAAAGUGAAAGACGGCCUUGCUGUCACUUAUAGAUGGAGCCGCGCUGCAUUAGCUAGUUGGUAAGGUAACGGCUUACCAAGGCAACGAUGCAUAGCCGACCUGAGAGGAUGAUCGGCCACACUGGAACUGAGACACGGUCCAGACUCCUACGGGAGGCAGCAGUAGGGAAUCUUCCGCAAUGGGCGAAAGCCUGACGGAGCCACGCCGCGUGCGUGAUGAAGGUCUUCGGAUCGUAAAACUCUGUUAUUAGGGAAGAACAUAUGUGUACGUAAAUGUGCACAUCUUGACGGUACCUAAUCAGAAAGCCCCGGCUAACUACGUG
rnacentral:rRNA from 1 species